ACGGACAAAAGCUACGCUAGGGAUAACAGCUUAACAUGCCCUUAGAGUUCCUAUCGAUGGGCAUACGAGAGACCUCGAUGUUGGAUCAUCGCGUCCUAUGGCUGAAGGAGGUCAUAAGGGUUGGAUUGUUCGUCCAUUAAAGCGGUACGUGAUCUGAGUUCAGAACGUCAAUUCAUUUCUUAGGCGUUUGCUUUAUGUAUUUAAAGCAUAGCAUCGGCUUAAUCGGCGAAACUAUCUAUGUAAGAACUGGACAUAGAUAACAACGCCGAGGAAUUGUUAAAUCAAACGGAAAAAUAUUAUAAUUUUAUAUAAACCGUUUGAUUUAAAUUCUGUAGAGACUGUGCAGUUUAGUUUCAUUGAGAGGGCAGCGCCCUCUCAACCAAUGCCUUCAUUCUAAACUGUUGAUAGUAUAUAAAUCAUAUACUAUAAUACGCCGACACUACCCAUUUGUAGUGAAGACAUAGUCCAUGCCUGCUAAUUGGAUUAAGCAGGGUUUAUGCGUAAGACAGUUCGGUUUCUAUCUUUGUUAGC